GGUGAUUCUAAAAUCAGGCCAGGGUUGAGUGUGAAAGGAUCCCAAGUAUAUUUAUGAAAGUUGAGUCCAGCCUUUGGCCUGGGGCUUAGAUAUUGAGGAUGGUUCUGCAUGGAUCUGGUAGGGCAGGUCAGUACAGCACACAAUGUACGUUUUGUGGCUAAAUUUUAGGGCAUCUGGGGGAGGAGAGAGCCCUUAACGACAGGAAAGGAGAAGCUUCAAGUUUGGUCUCCAUGUAGGAGCUCAUUGCUCCUGAAUCUCCUGCAACAAAGGACAGGAAUGGGUGGACUUUCUGUAGUUCAUGUCUCUUCUGUCUGCAGAAGCGGUAGUAGUAGGUGAAGGGUCAGGGCCGAAGCCUUCAAAGAUGUUCUGAAGGUGAUUGUUUGAUUUGUCCACAUUAUCUCACCUGAGGAAGAAACCCAGUGAAGAAAAGAGGAAGAUACAGCAGAUUCUCAAGCUUCUGAUCUGCCUUGAGUGACCUCCACUAUUAAUUAUGGACUUGCAACUCUUGAAGAUGUUCCCUUUGUGAGAGAGGAACUGGGAAGGUGUUGCUAUACAAGAUUCCCGUAUGAGAUGAGGCUCAUCCGAUUAAGCUACAAUCAGAACGUCUGAGAGUUAGUGGGCUUGCUGCUUCCGACCACAAGUUUAUCUUGCCACAGAAGCCGACCAGCUUGCAGUAGGCCUGGCUUGGGGGCCCUGGGCCAGGGCUUCCUCAACUUGUCUGCCCAGAUGCCUGCAGUUGAUUCAAGCAAGUGCAACAGGUUUUCCAGAUCUAAGGAUCCUGUUUGACCGGAAUAGAGACUUGAAAAAGAGACUAAAGGUAACUUCAGGGGCAUAGAUUAAGAGUUGAAGCACUCCGCGAGGGGGUCAAGUUUUCCAAACCACGCUUUUGCUGUCCUAGCCCACCAGUAAGGUUCGAUCUGUUACUUGUACUUUUAUGGGUUUCGCAUUGCCCAGCCCAAAGGUCUCCUCUCCCGGUGUCAGGGAGUUCCCCGAUCUUCAGCAGGUCUGGGGCAGGCCGUGGGGAGAGGGGAUGGGUGAGCCUGGCCGGGCCCAGCCGAGUCCCUCCUUAGCCCCCGCCCCGGCCUCCGGCCUCCUGACCCGGGCAGCGCGGGGCUGCAGCGAGCCCGCGUCGCACCGCCCCCUGCCUCGGGCCGCCCGCCAGGAGUUCGAGGCCUCCCGAUCCGGAUGUGAUGAAAAAGAGCCACCGAGGGAGAAGUGUUUGAGGAGCGGAGGGGGGCGGAGGGGAAAGGGAGGCCGAGAGGGGACGCGCCCCUCGGCGGGCAGCGGGGAGCCGGGAGCCGGGAGCCGGGAGCCGGGAGCGGGCCGGACCGAGCGGGCCGCGGAGGGGGGCGGGGGCCGGGGAGCCGGGGGCGGGGGGGCGGGCGCUGCAGUGUCGGGGCCGAGCCGGAGGGAGGCGGGGAGCGCCGCGCAGGGGCGGCCGCCGGGCCACCGGGCCGCAGGGGCGAGAUGCCGCCGCCGCGCCGCUAACUUUCCGGGCGGAAGAGGAGGAGGAGGAGGAGGAGGAGGAGAAGGGGCUCCGAGAGAGCUGGGGGGGAUGCCGAGUCGGCUGUCGGCGGCCAGCGCCUAG
rnacentral:lncRNA from 1 species